AACCCUUGUCCUAGUUACCAGCACGUAAUGGUGGGAACUCUAAGGAGACUGCCGGUGACAAACCGGAGGAAGGUGGGGAUGACGUCAAGUCAUCAUGGCCCUUACGGCCAGGGCUACACACGUGCUACAAUGGUCGGUACAAAGGGUUGCCAAGCCGCGAGGUGGAGCUAAUCCCAUAAACCGAUCGUAGUCCGGAUCGCAGUCUGCAACUCGACUGCGUGAAGUCGGAAUCGCUAGUAAUCGUGAAUCAGAAUGUCACGGUGAAUACGUUCCCGGGCCUU
rnacentral:rRNA from 1 species